UACGGAGGGUGCAAGCGUUAUCCGGAUUCACUGGGUUUAAAGGGUGCGUAGGCGGGCAAGUAAGUCAGUGGUGAAAUCUCCGGGCUUAACUCGGAAACUGCCGUUGAUACUAUUUGUCUUGAAUAUCAUGGAGGUAAGCGGAAUAUGUCAUGUAGCGGUGAAAUGCUUAGAUAUGACAUAGAACACCGAUAGCGAAGGCAGCUUACUACAUGUUAAUUGACGCUGAGGCACGAAAGCGUGGGGAGCAAACAGGAUUAGAUACCGAGUAGUCC
rnacentral:rRNA from 1 species